CCUGCCCUUAGAGGCAUUGCAGGUGUGGUUGCUGUGCCACAUAUGUCUCAGUAGGUGGCAGAGAAGAGAGAUGCUGUGUCUACUAGCAGUGUUCUGACCUAUGAAAAUCUGGCAAGCCUGGAUGAGCUCCCAGG